rnacentral:rRNA from 1 species
UACGGAGGGUGCUAGCGUUGUUCGGAAUUACUGGGCGUAAAGAGCUCGUAGGUGGUUUGUCGCGUUGUUCGUGAAAUCUCACGGCUUAACUGUGAGCGUGCGGGCGAUACGGGCAGACUAGAGUACUGCAGGGGAGACUGGAAUUCCUGGUGUAGCGGUGGAAUGCGCAGAUAUCAGGAGGAACACCGGUGGCGAAGGCGGGUCUCUGGGCAGUAACUGACGCUGAGGCGCGAAAGCGUGGGGAGCAAACAGG